AGUAGUCAUAUGCUUGUCUCAAAGAUUAAGCCAUGCUUGUCUAAGUAUAAGCGAGUAUACUGUGAAACUGCGAAUGGCUCAUUAAAUUAGUUAUGGUUUAUUUGAUGGUACCUUGCUACUUGGAUAACCUUAGUAAUUCUAGAGCUAAUACAUGCAGGAGUUUCCGACUUCGGAAGGGAUGUAUUUAUUAGAUAAGAAACCAAACCGGUCUCCGGUCGCGUGCUGAGUCAUACUAACUGCUC
rnacentral:rRNA from 1 species